AUGAACGCUGGCGGCGUGCCUAAUACAUGCCAGUCGAGCGAACAGACGAGGAGCUUGCUCCUCUGACGUUAGCGGCGGACGGGUGAGUAACACGUGGAUAACCUACCUAUAAGACUGGGUUAACUUCGGGAAACCGGAGCUAAUACCGGAUAAUAUAUUGAACCGCAUGGUUCAAUAGUGAAAGACGGUUUUGCUGUCACUUAUACAUGGAUCCGCGCCGCAUUAGCUAGUUGGUAAGGUAACGGCUUACCAAGGCAACGAUGCGUAGCCGAACUGAGAGGGUGAUCGGCCACACUGGAACUGAGACACGGUCCAGACUCCUACGGGAGGCAGCAGUAGGGAAUCUUCCGCAAUGGGCGAAAGCCUGACGGAGCAACGCCGCGUGAGUGAUGAAGGUCUUCGGAUCGUAAAACUCUGUUAUUAGGGAAGAACAAAUGUGUAAGUAACUAUGCACGUCUUGACGGUACCUAAUCAGAAAGCCACGGCUAACUACGUG
rnacentral:rRNA from 1 species